rnacentral:rRNA from 1 species
GAUCAUUGUCGAUACCUG